rnacentral:rRNA from 1 species
AGGACGAACGCUGGCGGCGUGCUUAACACAUGCAAGUCGAGCGGUAAGGCCUUUCGGGGUACACGAGCGGCGAACGGGUGAGUAACACGUGGGUGAUCUGCCCUGCACUCUGGGAUAAGCCUGGGAAACUGGGUCUAAUACCGGAUAUGACCUGCUCUCGCAGUGGGGGUGGGUGGAAAGAUUUAUCGGUGCAGGAUGGGCCCGCGGCCUAUCAGCUUGUUGGUGGGUAAUGGCCUACCAAGGCGACG